CGAUGUUGCCGCCUUGCUGGAGCACCUCGCAGACGCAGGCCACUUGCUCUUGGGUGAAGCCAAAAGUCGGGAGCAUCGACAUGUGGUUGAAUCUGAACGGGAGCAGCUGUUCGCCCUAGCCGGAAAGGAGAUGUCAAAACCUGUUGCGUGGAUUUAGAUCUGAGAGUCUUCUUAGCACCCUAAAAUGAGUCGCGAAUCGCCUGCUCACGUUUGCUCCCGGUCCGACGGGAUCGUUUCACUUAGCUGCUGCCGGCUGUCUCCAGUUUAGCUGCUGUGGAAGGUUUUAUUUGAGGCGACCCAAAAGGCGGGUAUCAUCCCGGCCCCGGCCCCGACUGCCACUUUGCCCAGGGCC